GAAUAGAGAGAAAUGGGGAAUAACAAGAACAAAGGUUAGGGUUCACCGAACAAAAAACAAAAGUAAGGCUAAAAUUGCACUUAGUUGAGUAUAAAUUGGGGCUAAGACAUUUGGAUAUUAAUUGGCUUCAAUUUUUUAAAUUAUAAUCAGUUUUGUUGAACUAGGUUAGGUUAGGGUUAAAUUUGUUUGGGUUAGAUUAGUUUGCUUUUAAUAUACAGUCAUUAUGGUUUCGACCUUGCAUUUACAAUUUACAAAUUUGUAUGUUUGCGAGUUUUUUU
rnacentral:lncRNA from 1 species